rnacentral:lncRNA from 1 species
AAAACUUGGUUUGCCAUUCUCUCUGGUUUCUUUCAAGGGUAGCCUUGAUGUUUUUUUUUGUGUUGCUCUGAUGGUAAUCAACCAUACUUCAACCGAGAGGCUCGGUUGUGAGUUCGACUCUCCCAAGAGCAAGGUGGAAAGUUCUUGGAGAGAAAAAUGCCGGAAUCUAUUUGGAUACAGCCUCUCUACCCUACCCCAGGGUAAAGGUAAGAUGUGCAUAUAUACUAUUCUCUCCAAACCUCACUAUUUGAGAUUAUACUGGCUUGUUGUUAUUUUUGUUGUUAAAGGGGAUGGGGAUGGCUAGCUUUUUACUGAGAAAGCUAAUUUUUCUUGUGAAUGAAAAAAAAUAGAAGAAGGAAGAGUAGGGCGUGCCCGAUUCUCUCUAUGUGCUAAGGGUGAG